rnacentral:tRNA from 1 species
GGCAGGGUAGCUCAGUGGUAGAGCACGGCAUUCAUAACGCCGUGGUCGCGGGUUCGAUCCCCGCCCCUGUCA